rnacentral:rRNA from 1 species
UACGAAGGGGGCUAGCGUUGUUCGGAAUCACUGGGCGUAAAGGGCGCGUAGGCGGCUUUAUAAGUCGGGGGUGAAAUCCUGGAGCUCAACUCCAGAACUGCCUUCGAUACUGGCGAUCUUGAGUCCGGAAGAGGUGAGUGGAACUCCUAGUGUAGAGGUGGAAUUCGUAGAUAUUAGGAAGAACACCAGUGGCGAAGGCGGCUCACUGGUCCGGUACUGACGCUGAGGUGCGAAAGCGUGGGGAGCAAACAGG